AUUGAACGCUGGCGGCAUGCUUUACACAUGCAAGUCGAACGGCAGCGCGAGCUUCGGCCUGGCGGCGAGUGGCGAACGGGUGAGUAAUGCAUCGGAACGUGCCCAGUAGUGGGGGAUAGCCCGGCGAAAGCCGGAUUAAUACCGCAUACGACCUGAGGGUGAAAGCGGGGGACCGAAAGGCCUCGCGCUAUUGGAGCGGCCGAUGUCGGAUUAGCUAGUUGGUGGGGUAAAGGCUUACCAAGGCGACGAUCCGUAGCUGGUCUGAGAGGACGACCAGCCACACUGGGACUGAGACACGGCCCAGACUCCUACGGGAGGCAGCAGUGGGGAAUUUUAGACAAUGGGGGCAACCCUGAUCCAGCCAUGCCGCGUGCGGGAAGAAGGCCUUCGGGUUGUAAACCGCUUUUGUUCGGGAAGAAAUCCUCUGGGCUAAUACCCCGGGGGGAUGACGGUACCGGAAGAAUAAGCACCGGCUAACUACGUG
rnacentral:rRNA from 1 species